rnacentral:rRNA from 1 species
AAGUCGAACGGGGUACCCUUGACAGAGGGCUUCGGCCAAUUGAUAGGAAUACCUAGUGGCGGACGGGUGAGUAACGCGUGAGGAACCUGCCUUGGAGUGGGGAAUAACAGUUAGAAAUAGCUGCUAAUACCGCAUAAUGCAACUAAGUCGCAUGGCUUUGGUUGCCAAAGAUUUAUCGCUCUAAGAUGGCCUCGCGUCUGAUUAGAUAGUUGGCGGGGUAACGGCCCACCAAGUCGACGAUCAGUAGCCGGACUGAGAGGUUGGCCGGCCACAUUGGGACUGAGACACGGCCCAGACUCCUACGGGAGGCAGCAGUGGGGAAUAUUGGGCAAUGGGCGCAAGCCUGACCCAGCAACGCCGCGUGAAGGAAGAAGGCCCUCGGGUUGUAAACUUCUUUUAUUCGGGACGAAACAAAUGACGGUACCGAAUGAAUAAGCCACGGCUAACUACGUGCCAGCAGCCGCGGUAAUACGUAGGUGGCAAGCGUUAUCCGGAUUUACUGGGUGUAAAGGGCGUGUAGGCGGGAGAGCAAGUCAGACGUGAAAUUCCAGGGCUCAACCCUGGAACUGCGUUUGAAACUGUUCUUCUUGAGUGAUGGAGAGGCAGGCGGAAUUCCGUGUGUAGCGGUGAAAUGCGUAGAUAUACGGAGGAACACCAGUGGCGAAGGCGGCCUGCUGGACAUUAACUGACGCUGAGGCGCGAAAGCGUGGGGAGCAAACAGGAUUAGAUACCCUGGUAGUCCACGCUGUAAACGAUGGAUACUAGGUGUGGGGGGUCUGACCCCCUCCGUGCCGCAGCUAACGCAAUAAGUAUCCCACCUGGGGAGUACGAUCGCAAGGUUGAAACUCAAAGGAAUUGACGGGGGCCCGCACAAGCGGUGGAGUAUGUGGUUUAAUUCGAAGCAACGCGAAGAACCUUACCAGGGCUUGACAUCCCGCUGACCGGUGUAGAGAUACACUUUUCCCUUCGGGGACAGCGGUGACAGGUGGUGCAUGGUUGUCGUCAGCUCGUGUCGUGAGAUGUUGGGUUAAGUCCCGCAACGAGCGCAACCCUUACCCACAGUAGCCAGCACAAAAGGUGGGCACUCUGUGGGGACUGCCGGGGACAACCCGGAGGAAGGUGGGGAUGACGUCAAAUCAUCAUGCCCCUUAUGGCCGGGGCUACACACGUGCUACAAUGGCGUAAACAAAGGGAAGCGAGAGAGUGAUCUUAAGCGAAACUCAAAAAUAACGUCCCAGUUCGGAUUGCAGUCUGCAACUCGACUGCAUGAAGCUGGAAUCGCUAGUAAUCGCGGAUCAGAAUGCCGCGGUGAAUACGUUCCCGGGCCUUGUACACACCGCCCGUCA